UUCCAGCUCUGGGACGUGCCAAGGCACAAGGCAGACCUCUGCCCCUUGUUUCCAUCCAGAAUAUCCUUCCUGAGGGCGGAGAGCUCCUCUUCUUACAGCAUCCCCAGGGAGUCUGCAUCCUGCAUACCCUCGGGGCACUGAAAAUUGCUGCGUGGGAAGAGACGUGUCUGAAGGUGAUGAAUGGCUUUGCUAUGUUUGCCAAGCAGAAGUUUUCUUUUGAUGGGCACCAAAACACCUGGGCUUGCCCUUCCUGGCUGGAAGAGUGAAAUUCCCUAAAACAGCUCACAAAUAAAGGCCAAAUCAGUAGUUUCAGGAGAAAAAGAGGAAGGCUGAAGGUGCCACUGCAGAGGAGGGGAGAGGCCAGGCUCAGCAGUCUGAGCUGGUUCUUCAAGGCAUUCCAGCCCCAGCAGCAUCCCGUGGUGAGAAGUUCCCUGGAUGAAUGUGCAGCCUUAACUCACCUCUGCCAGGACAGGGACCUGGCAGUGGAGCAUCACCAGUAAUUUUCCACCCAUCUCCACGCUGUGGAAAUACACCCAGGCAUGGAAAAAGCCUAGAAGGGAAUAAAGAAGACACUUGGCCAGUACAGCUUGGCUGGCUCCCAGCUGAAGGAAAAGCUUCAGGUUCAUCCCCAGCUCUCCAGUGCUUGGCAGGCUCGGCUGCCUCAGCUUCUACAAACGGGACAGGCCAGCAGCAUCCCUGCCAAAACCCCGGGUGCUCCUACUCCAACGGCUCCCUGUGCCCACGGGUUUGCUGCAAGACAGAAAGGGGGGAAAGUGGCCUUUUUGUGGGGUUUGGUUGGGACUUUUUCCUUCUUCUCACCGCAGAGAAAAGGAGAAGGAAAUACUUGGCAUGGAGGGCGGAGCGAGGGGGAGGUUGGGGACAGCGGGGAUGUGGUGGUGGGAGAUGAGCAGUCCCUUUAUGAGGCUCUAAUUACUCCAGCCAAAACCCACAACAUCGCAUUAUCCCGAUGAGGUUUUUACGAGGGCAGUAAGAUGUCCCAGCCUGCCGGGGCGGUGAUUGCAAGCCCAUGGCCUCGGGCUCUCCGAGGAGCCGCUGGUGCUCCUGCUGCAAUUCGAUUCCAGCUCGGCAAGAGCGUCCGGCCCGUUUCCCAACCUCGCGGUACUAAUCCCUUGUAGCUCAGUGGUGCAGCAAUAACCCCCGGAGCCACCACCGCCUCUCACUGCCGGCGGCUGCAGAGCACAAGAUGUUCCUAGACAAGGCUCCUCACACCCUGUGCAGCCCGGCAAACAAGGGCGGCUUCCCAAAUCCCACCAGCAUCCUGCCCCCAGCAGCUUCCCAUGGAAAACACCCUCACAGAGUCACUGUCCCCAGCCUUCCUUGAAAACUCAGGUUGCUGUGAAAACAGUGGUGAAACAGGCUGGGAAGAGGGCAUCAAGGGCAGACGUGACCGAGGUCUGUGAUAUCCUGAUGAGUCCAGAGAAGAUAAGUGAUGAGAGGGUGAUGACUCGCUGCCUCUUGUGCAAAACCCAGGACCAGCAUGUCCAAAGGAUUUUUCUCCAUAGGAUUUCUCCUGACACAGGAGGAUGAAGGCAGAUUCAAAAAGCAAUUCCUGGAAGAGGAAACCACCCAGGACACCAAGACCAUCACCAGCUCACUCUGCUGAGUGUAGAAGCUCACUGAGGUCUUGAUGUUUUCCUGGGAUCCUCUGCUUCAGCCGAUGGUUGUGGAGGAAGAAAACCCAUCAGCGAGGUGUUGCUCCCACAUCCAAGGCACAGGGUAGCAGUCAGUUCCUGGGGACAGACUGGCCAAGAGUUGGCCAAGCUCCAGGGUCAGGACUGGCAGGCAGGAGCAGGAGCAGGAGCAGGAGUGGGUUAUGUGGUGGAGGUGGACAUGAAGAAAACAAGAUAUCCCCAUUCCCAAGGCUGCUGAAGGAAGCUGGAGACAGCAGGAUUUAACCCCAUGGGACGAAUGAGUCAGUCACAGGGAUGACCACAAGGAUCUGUUAUCACAAGGAUCUGUUAUCAGUGGAAAAUCUAUCUCAUGAGGGCAUCAAAGGUAGAUCCUUGUGUGCCAAAAGGAAGGGAGAAGGGGAGAAAAAGAGGACAAAGAUCCUCUGUGUCAGACAAAGAGAGUUCUGUGGCCCCCAGCCCCUCUGGGACGGUGCAGGAGGAGAUUCAAAGCCCCAGGUCCUUCUAUUUGAGAGCUUCUUCAGCCCAUCCUGGCAGCCCAAGGGCUGGGGGAGCGGGGAGGGCAAGGUCUCACUCUCUGACAGCACCACGGAGCCCCAAGCUGGGCCCAGCACAUGUUACUCACCUUGAAACUAUGUGAGUAAACAGAGAAGGCUCCUCUUCCCGGUCCCACCUCAGCAAUUAGGCUGCAGACUGAAUCCACCCCAGCAGAUCACAGAUCACGGGGAUGCUCUGCUCUCUCCUCUGGUGAGUCCUCAGGCCAAGCUACCCAGGAGAGGACAAUGAUGAAGCUCUAGUUGGCCUCCAGGCCCAUCCCCUCCUAUAUGGAGCUUCUUGGAGAUGUCCCACCAGGAGGAAAACAGCCCUUUCCUGUCACUUAUGGUGUUUUUAUAGUGUAUCACCAUUUUUUGCGGCUGAGCAGCAGCGACACUCAUGGCUCACUCUGACAUGGGGGAAGUGGAGCCAGCUGGGAAGAGCCCUGUUGAGAGACUUGACACCAGCUAGGAGGAGGAAGAAGAGAUGAUCCCACAGGAAAGGGACCUCCCUGCUAGCACAGCAAAAGCCUCUGAGCUCCAGGGAUUUUGUGGGCACCACUGCAGCCAUG